rnacentral:tRNA from 1 species
GGAAGGAUGACAGAGGGGUUAAAUGUGUUUGUCUUGAAAACAAAGCCGUUAUGGCUCGUGGGUUCGAAUCUCACUCCUUCCU